rnacentral:rRNA from 1 species
UACGUAGGGUGCAAGCGUUAAUCGGAAUUACUGAGCGUAAAGCGUGCGCAGGCGGCUUUGCAAGACAGAUGUGAAAUCCCCGGGCUUAACCUGGGAACUGCAUUUGUGACUGCAUGGCUGGAGUGCGGCAGAGGGGGAUGGAAUUCCGCGUGUAGCAGUGAAAUGCGUAGAUAUCUGGAGGAACACCGGUGGCGAAGGCGGCAUUCUGGACCGAAACUGACGCUGAGGCGCGAAAGCCAGGGGAGCAAACGGG